AUACGUAGGGUGCGAGCGUUAAUCGGAAUUACUGGGCGUAAAGGGUGCGCAGGCGGCCUUGUAAGUCAGAUGUGAAAGCCCCGGGCUUAACCUGGGAAUUGCGUUUGAAACUACAAAGCUAGAGUGCAGCAGAGGGGAGUGGAAUUCCAUGUGUAGCAGUGAAAUGCGUAGAGAUGUGGAAGAACACCGAUGGCGAAGGCAGCUCCCUGGGUUGACACUGACGCUCAUGCACGAAAGCGUGGGGAGCAAACAGGAUUAGAUACCCUGGUAGUCCACGCCCUAAACUAUGUCAACUAGUUGUCGGAUCUAAUUAAGGAUUUGGUAACGUAGCUAACGCGUGAAGUUGACCGCCUGGGGAGUACGAUCGCAAGAUUAAA
rnacentral:rRNA from 1 species